AUUGAACGCUGGCGGCAGACCUAACACAUGCAAGUCGAACGGUAACAGGAAACAGCUUGCUGUUUCGCUGACGAGUGGCGGACGGGUGAGUAAUGUCUGGGAAACUGCCUGAUGGAGGGGGAUAACUACUGGAAACGGUAGCUAAUACCGCAUAACGUCGCAAGACCAAAGAGGGGGACCUUCGGGCCUCUUGCCAUCGGAUGUGCCCAGAGGGGAUUAGCUAGUAGGUGGGGUAACGGCUCACCUAGGCGACGAUCCCUAGCUGGUCUGAGAGGAUGACCAGCCACACUGGAACUGAGACACGUUCCAGACACCGACGGGAGGCACCAGUGGGGAAUAUUGCACAAUGGGCGCAAGCUUGAUGCAGCCAUGCCGGGUGUAUGAAGAAGGCCUGCGGGUUGUAAAGUACUUUCAGCGGGGAGGAAGGGAGUAAAGUUAAUACCUUUACUCAUUGACGUUACCCGCAGAAGAAGCACCGGCUAACUCCGUG
rnacentral:rRNA from 1 species